GAUCAUGGCUCAGGACGAACGCUGGCGGCGCGCCUAACACAUGCAAGUCGAACGGGACUGUUCAAUCGGAAGUUUUCGGAUGGAAGAGUGGACAGUUUAGUGGCGAACGGGUGAGUAACGCGUGAGUAACCUGCCCUUCAGAGGGGGACAACAGUUGGAAACGACUGCUAAUACCGCAUAAGCCCACGGUACCACAUGGUACAGUGAGAAAAGGAGAAAUCCGCUGAAAGAUGGACUCGCGU
rnacentral:rRNA from 1 species